rnacentral:rRNA from 1 species
GUUCCCUCCGAGACGGAUCCCGAGUAGUGCGGGGCACGUGAAACCCCGUAUGAAUCCGGCAGGACCAUCUGCCAAGGCUAAAUACUUCCUAGCGACCGAUAGUGAAGCAGUACCGUGAGGGAAAGGUGAAAAGCACCCCGGAAGGGGAGUGAAAUAGAACCUGAAACCGUGUGCUUACAAAAAGUCAGAGCCCGUUUUAGGGGUGAUGGCGUGCCUUUUGUAGAAUGAACCGGCGAGUUACGUUCCCGUGCAAGGUUAAGGUGAAGAGCCGGAGCCGCAGCGAAAGCGAGUCUGAAUAGGGCGACUUAGUACGUGGACGUAGACCCGAAACCGGGUGAUCUACCCCUGUCCAGGGUGAAGGUGCGGUAACACGCACUGGAGGCCCGAACCCACGCAUGUUGAAAAAUGCGGGGAUGAGGUGGGGGUAGCGGAGAAAUUCCAAUCGAACUCGGAGAUAGCUGGUUCUCCCCGAAAUAGCUUUAGGGCUAGCCUCGGAAAACAGAGUCGUGGAGGUAGAGCACUGAUUGGGUGCGGGGCCCGCAAGGGUUACCAAGCUCAGUCAAACUCCGAAUGCCAUAGACUUACUUCCGGGAGUCAGACAGUGAGUGCUAAGAUCCAUUGUCAAAAGGGAAACAGCCCAGACCAUCAGCUAAGGUCCCCAAGUGUGUGUUAAGUGGGAAAGGAUGUGGAGUUGCACAGACAACCAGGAUGUUGGCUUAGAAGCAGCCACCAUUGAAAGAGUGCGUAAUAGCUCACUGGUCGAGUGACUCUGCGCCGAAAAUGUAACGGGGCUAAACACACCACCGAAGCUAUGGCUUGAUGCUUUGCAUCAGGGGUAGGGGAGCGUUGUAUAAGGGUUGAAGGUGUACCGUAAGGAGCGCUGGACAUUAUACAAGUGAGAAUGCCGGUAUGAGUAACGAAAAGAUCAGUGAGAAUCUGAUCCGCCGAAAGCCUAAGGGUUCCUGAGGAAGGCUCGUCCGCUCAGGGUAAGUCGGGACCUAAGGCGAGGCCGAAAGGCGUAGUCGAAGGACAACAGGUCGAAAUUCCUGUACCACCGUAAGCCGUUAUGAGCAAUGGGGGGACGCAGCAGGGUAGUGACGCGGACUGAUGGAUGUCCGUCUAAGCAGUGAGGCUGAUGUGUAGGCAAAUCCGCACAUCGUAAGGCUGGGCUGUGAUGGGGAGCGAAAAUUA